UACGUAGGGACCAAGCGUUGUCCGGAAUCAUUGGGCGUAAAGAGCGUGUAGGCGGCUUGUUAAGUCUUGCGUGAAAUCUCGGGGCUCAACCCCGAGCGGUCGUGAGAAACUGGCAGGCUAGAGUGCGGGAAAGGAGAGUGGAAUUCCUGGUGUAGCGGUGAAAUGCGUAGAUAUCAUGAGGAACACCGGUGGCGAAGGCGGUUACCUGGAAGAUUCCUGACUCUGAAACACGAAAGCCAGGGGAGCAAACGGG
rnacentral:rRNA from 1 species